rnacentral:snRNA from 1 species
AAACAUGGAAUGCUACAGAGAAGAUUAGCAUGGCCCCUGUGCAAGGAUAACUCACAAAUUCGUGAAGUUCCAUAAAAGAGA